CUACGGGUGGCAGCAGUGAGGAAUAUUGCACAAUGGGGGGAACCCUGAUGCAGCAACGCCGCGUGGAGGAUGACGCAUUUCGGUGUGUAAACUCCUUUUAUAUGUCAAGAAAAUGACGGUAGCAUAUGAAUAAGCACCGGCUAACUCCGUGCCAGCAGCCGCGGUAAUACGGAGGGUGCAAGCGUUACUCGGAAUCACUGGGCGUAAAGGACGCGUAGGCGGGUUGGAAAGUCAGGUGUGAAAUCCUACAGCUUAACAGUAGAACUGCACUUGAAACUUCUAAUCUAGAGUAUGGGAGGGGGAGAUGGAAUUAGUGGUGUAGGGGUAAAAUCCGUAGAUAUCACUAGGAAUACCUAAAGCGAAGGCGAUCUCCUGGAACAUUACUGACGCUAAGGCGUGAAAGCGUGGGGAGCGAACAGGAUUAGAUACCCGGGUAGUC
rnacentral:rRNA from 1 species